rnacentral:tRNA from 1 species
GGUGGUUCAGUGGUUAAAGCACUCGGCUGUGAACUGAGAGAUCGGUGGUUCGAAUCCACCAGCCA